rnacentral:lncRNA from 1 species
UCAAUGAAAAAAUCCCAAUAGUCUUCCAUUGUUCCUGAAUUAUCAGAAUGGUCUUCAUCAAAUUCAUUUGGAUCUUGGGCUUCUCCUGCUAAGGCUGAGAACUGUCCGAUAGGUAAAAGAACUAAUGUUUCUUAGACUCUUCCUUAACAGAUUUUGAUGAACUUGCUUGUGUGGAUAAAUGUUGAAAAUUCCCCAUGAAUUGACUUUUGAUCAUAUCCAUCACCUUGACCUGGAUUUGGAUAGGAGAAAGAUUUGAUUCUUUCCUCUUAUCUACUAGAGCCUGGAAGAUGUUGGUUGGAAGAGCAGGUUCAGGUAGUUUAGGGUGCCGUGCUUCAUAAACAUUCCUAUACUCAUUUAUGAUAGAUUUGAUUAAAAAAAUUGUUUCCUCUUCAGUUUUGAAAUCCUCCCACCAUUUAAACCAAAAAGUUCUUUGUAAAAAAAAAAAAAAAAAAAAAAAAAAAAAAAAAAAAAGAUUGGGAACAAUUUAGAUAAUCAAAACUGAAUUCUAAAUUCCACUUCACCCGCACAUGUAUUCUGAAUGCAGUGAAGAAAGAAAUUUUUUUUGUUUUUUUGGAGGUUUUUUGUCUGUUUUCCCCUUAGGCCCUUUGAUUAAAUUCAUACCCUUAGGCCUUGGAUGAAACUUCAUACCAAUAAUGGAAUGAAUCCAGGAUGGUUUGGUAAAAUGGUCAUAUCUGGACCACUUUUUCCCACCAAGCUACACCAUCGGAGGAACCUGAAAUUUUAGAAUUUUGGAUUAAGAGAGAAAACUAAAGAAAUGGAUUUUUGGAGGAUUUGAUAGAAAAAGCAAAAUUCCAUGCUUGGAUGUAUCCCGUAUUUGAAUAACGUCUUUUUAGGGAUUAGACAACUUAAACUUUUGGUUUUGCAGGAUCUAAUCCCCUUCCUAAGUGUAGAACCCUGAUGGCAGAACCCUUUGAAUGGGGAUUUUUAAAAUCUUCUGGAUUUAAUGAUUAUGAUGGAUCUGAACAGAUUCGUCUCAACAAGCAUCUUGCUUCAUAGACAUAUCUGAGGCGUCCUUCCCAAACCAUAUAAUUUGAUUCCCAAAUCUCUUUAUUUGAAUAAACCAGGGAUCUUGCUGCCAUUGUAGAUCUUGUGUUUGUAAAGGAACAAUCUUUCUCUACAUGGCUCUUUUGAUGUAAACAACUCGUAGCCAGCCAAUGGCUUCUUUAGCAGUUGUGGACUUAGAUUGCCUGUGGUCUUUGAAUGAACCUUGGAUUGUGCUGAAGAAACCCAGCUUUGGAUAUCAGAAUAAGGAAACUUCUUUUCCUGGAUUUUGAGUGGCCUUAGAACGGCCUUUAACUCUCUGUUGAUCUUUCUUUUUUGCCAUCUAUCAGAGGCUCCUGCUCCUAGCAGGAUUCACGAGUUAAAAAUCCGGCAAGAGUUUUGUUCUCCGUGAUAAAUUCAUAAUCAAAAUCAAAGCACUAUGUUGUGCUUGCCAUCUUGCCAAAAGUUGUUUAGAACAAGUUUUUUUGACAUCUUUUUGAAAAAUGGUGUCUUGCCGCACUACAAUCAAUUUAAAAUAAGGAAUUUUUUGAAUUAAUAAUGCCAUCCUUAAAUUUUUGAUAACAUUUAACCAAAUAUAACAUUUCCUUUCUUGAUAGUAAAUAGUGAAUUUGUGUUCCUUUCGUAUUCCAGAAUGUACAUCUAGAGUUCUCUGCUUUGUAGAUUACUCGUUUUAAUUUGUGCUCCUUUCCAUAUUUCAGAAAGAAUUAUAUUGAAUUUGGAAGAUUUGAUCCAGAUUUAAUAUAUUUCGAAAAACAACUUAGACAAAUACAGAAUUACAUGGAUCUGAUAAGUUGUUGUUAAUCAACAAGUCCAAGUUCUGUUCCUGACAAGACAAUUCUGUCGGUGCUCAUGUACCUCACAUGCCUCUGUCGGAGCUCGUGAAUCACACGUUUCACUGUGCGGACUUCAAAUUUCUCUUUAGAUUCCAAAUAAAGUUUAUUUUCUGUAUAAAAGGAGGUCUUAUGUCUUAGGGAAGGCAUCCGAAAUCUCUCUCUCUUGUAAGAUAAGAUUACUUCCUCCCUUGUAAGCUACUGAAAUCAAAGGAAUCAAGAGGUAAAUUUUUAAAUUGUUCUGUUUGGUUCUUUUCUAUAUCCUUACGCCUUUUAUUUUUGAUCUUGUAAUAUAUGGUAUCAGAGCCAGGAGAGUAGCUCUUCCUGAUCAAGUUUUUUGAUAAUAAAUCCUGAAUUUCUUUUUUACAAAGCUCAAGAUAUUUCGAAUUCACAUUUGACUUGGUCUGUAUCCUCAGUGGAAUUGUUUUCUUUCUUGAAAUCUUCUUCAUAAGGCAAUAGAACAAUAGCUGGCUUUCCAUCCAAAAGCAUUUGGAGAUACUUACAUUUUGAUUUUUGAAAUCCUUUUCUAUUUCAGAAAUUUUUGAUUUCAAAUGUGUAGAUUUUAAUUUUUUCUCUAUAUCCAUAGAGUAAACUUCAGUUUUUAAGAAUCCCAAAUGUUUUUCUUUUGGAACCAGAAAUUGCUGAAGUUCAUUUAGGAUACGAGUCUCUGGAUCUUGAAUAAAUUCAAAAUUCAGAGUUUGAUUUUUGUAAACACAGUUUAUCCCAUUUUAUCAAUUUUUUGAAUAGGCAUAAUCUGG